rnacentral:lncRNA from 1 species
CUGGCCUUGUCGUGUUAGUGACUUCUGCUCUGAGUUUAUCAAACAUUUACAGCUGGGGUUAAUGGUUAACCCCUCAUUCCUGGGAUGGGCUUCGCUCUCCCUCCCAGAACGUCAAAAAGAUAGGAGGCACGAAUUCAAAACUCUCAUUUGACUUCUGAGCUGCCCAGGUGAACCGUCAAACACCCCUCUGUUCGGGAUACUCUGGUGAGUCUUCGUGCAAUAUACCCAGAGGUUGUUGGGAAAAGGUUGGUGGUGGGAUCUUUGUACAUUUGCAUUUUAGUAUGAGAAUCAAGAGCCACAAUAUGAUAUAAAGGUUUUCCAUUAGAAACAUAGAACAUAGAAACAUAGAAUGUGACGGCAAAUAAGAACCAUUUGGCCCAUCUAGUCUGCCCAAUUUCCUAAAUACUUUCAUUAGUCCCUAGUCUUAUCUUAUAGUUAGGAUAGCCUUAUGCCUUUUAAAAUGAGUUAAUCAUAAAAGAGACACAUGUGACAAUUUCGUAGUAUAGUUAACCCUAUAUAGCACAUUAGAUUUAAUGCAGGGGUGCCAAAAAGGUAGAUCCCCGGAUGUUUUAAAACUACAGCUUAAUGCUUUGUCAUUCUAAAGACAUUCUAAAGGCAAGCAAAGCAUCAUAGGCGUUGUAGUUCUACAACAUGUGGGGAUCUACCUUUUGAGCACCCCUGAUUUAAUGGCUGGUUGUGAGACAUGAGAAAAAGAAACACGCACAUAUAUAUAUAUAUAUAUAUAUAUAUAUAUAUAUAUAUAUUCCACAUGCAUGUAAAGCAAUUGUGCAGCCACAUACAGAACAUAGUUGCCGAAUAAAGUGAUUUAAUAAUGUCAGUUAUAUAACAGCAGAGAGACAGUAAGAGAGCACAUGCUAUUAAACAAAUUCCUGGCAAAACGUUGCCAAAUCUAUCUAGUUUAGUAGUAAAUAAAUAUCCUGUGUAUACGUCAUUGUGCAAAUAGCAGAAAAAAAACUUACAGAUAUUGUAGGGAGAAAACCAAAAUGAAAUAAUAGAAAUUGUAACUGAAAAGGAAUGACCAAAUAAGGCAAUGCUGGCGAUAUUGUUGUUAGUUGGUAACAAUAAUUGAGAUUUAGAGGGCGACAGACUGAUGCCAUCAUGGUGGCAUUAUGACACACCUUCAUACAGUGAACAGUGCAGCGUUCUGAAGAGAUAAGCAGUGUUCUUGCACAGAAUAUUCUCCUUAAAGGUCACCUAUUAACAUACACUAGAGAGGAGAAUAUUACCGGUUUGAACUUUGCCAUCUGAACACGAGGUGUGUAUCAGUAGCAUGCGUGGCACCUUGAUAGGAUACUGGAGUAGUAGUCAAAAUUUAAUCUGUAUGUAUAUAUCCAUACAUACAUACAUAGGAAAUCAGGCAUUUGACAGCUGGGUUUUUUAUUCUCUCUAUCUUCACUGAGGCUGAUAGAAUGAAGUCUACUCAGCGAACACCUAACUGUACUUAAUUGAAACCUGAAUUGCAAAGUUUAGACUACAAUAACCAUGUCUUGAUUACUGCAGAGCAGGGUGAUUUUUUUUCCACAUUAACAUAUUUUUGCCUAAAUUUUGCAAUUUGGUUUUCUAUUGACUAUAGUUCAGUUUUAAAUUAGAUUACUAUGUGGUAAGUAUUGCAUUAAAAGUAGUCAAACUCACAGUAUUAAAGGCACAUUUUUUCACCCUGAGAUUACUGUUAAUAAUAAUAAUAAUUAAAAAAAAAAACCUUUGAAUGACAGAAGUGUGACCCACACAAUUGCUUUGCAAUCUAUUGGUCACAUCAUUGGCACUCAAAGGGUUCAUAUCUCUAAAGGCAAGGAUAUGAAAGCAACAGAACGUAAUUUCCUUGGAAUAGCGGGUAUCAGAGGCUAUCAAUCUAUAAUAAUGCUGUGAUUUAUAAUUUAUAUUAAUCCUGUGAUGUAUAGGUUAACAUUAAAGUGACAAUUUAGGCACCAUAACAAUUUCAUCAAAAUGGCGUUGUUAUGUUGCCCAAAUCCUUCAGGUUGCACUCUUACUGUAAGGGGUUAAACCGUUCUUGAAUUAUUUAACCCCAAAGCGAGCCUCCAGCGCCGAUUCUACAGGUCCCCCAGAUGGCAUCUAAAUCUCUGUUUCAGGAAGCUCAGAGUGGCGCCAGGCAGGGGUGCCGCUCUUUUGCUAAGGGCCGUCAGCUGGCGCUCUGAGUCAAUCAGUGACUCCCCAUUCACAAAACUGGCUUGAAAAGAAAUGAAGUGCCUGGGGGACCUGAGGAUUAGUGUUUUUUUCUGCAGUGAGGCACUUCAUCAGAAAUGUUUGUGUUCGUGGGCAGCACUCAUUUUUCACUGAGAUAAUUUUUCACUGAGAUAAUAUAGCCUUUUAGUUGUGUAAUCGAUGUUAAUACUGGGUUAAACCUGGGGCGCUUCUGUCUUCCUUCCCUCUUACCUUUGCGCAUUACAUCAUGCACAGGGUAGAGGAGGGAUUAUGUUCACUACAGCUUAACUUCAUGCUGUCAGUAGAUAAAGGUGCGGUUACCGCUGCAGAUCUCACGCGGGCCGCACCUCGAUGUCCGACGGGCUGCGUUUGGCUCGCGGACCCAAAACUAAAGAAAACUGGUCAAUCCCAUAUUUUUUUUACCUUCUACUUACUUUCUACUUAUUCACUGAAGUAAUACUUGCAGGGAAUUAUAAGUAAAUUCAAAGUAAAUUUGAAAUUUAAGGUCAAAAUAGCACAAAUGGAAAAAUUCUUCAAGUCACCUAUUCCUUUCAGUUCGGCUCCUUUGGCCUACAAUAUGAAAUGCACUUUGAAUUUUCUGCAAUUUUCACUUCAGUGAAUAACCCUGUAAUUAUAAUGUUCAUUUUUAGACCGUGCAAUUGGAAAGUGCAUCACAUAAUCCCUUUAUUGUUUUCUAGCAAAAUACUGUUGUACGUAAUUAAGGAUGGAGAUUCACAGGAGAUUGCCCUCCAUUUUAGAUCAGUACUCUGACACCAGAUGAUAGGAGGUCACAAACAGACAAACACAAUGCAGGGCACUGUGCAGUAAUUCAGCACCUUUGAUACAUAUCUUAGUGCAGGCAUAGGCAACCUUCGGCACUCCAGAUGUUUUGGACUACACCUCCCAUGAUGCUUUGCCAGCAUUAUGGGUGUAAAAGCAUUAUGGGGAAUGUAGUCCAUAACAUCUGGAGUGCCGAAGGUUGCCUAUCCCUGGCUUAGUGUUUACAACAUUUGUAACCUUAAAGCAGCACUGUCACUAAAAAUACAUUUCAACUAAUCUGCUACUAUAGAGCCUUCUGUGUCUGAAAUUAUUUUUAUAAAUUUUUUUUUUUUACAAAAUACACAGUGAAAAGUAGGGACUGGGCCGCAGAGGUAGGCAACCUUCAGUGCUCCAGAUGUUGUGGACUACAUCUCCCAUAAUGCUCUUACCGCCAUAAUUCUGGCAAAGCAUCACGGGAGGUGUAGUCCACAACAUCUAGAAUGCAGAAGGUUGCCUAUCCUAAGUGGGCAAAAUCUGAAAGUGGGUGGAGCUUUUAAGUAUGGUUUUGUUUCCGUUGACAAUCAAAUUUAGCCACAACCCAUCAGUGAAAUAAAUCCCACAGAAGGGCAAAAAGCAGACAUCAUGGACAGAGGGGAAACAAAAUGGCUGUACCCAUAAGGAAAGGAAAAUCAACAGAUAUUAAACAUAGGAGAGUAAAGACAUAUUGUCUAAAAUGAUGCAGAAUGACACCAUACUAAGAAAGCAUGAAUUAUCCAUAAUAACACAUUGCCUUCAAAUGGCUUUUAUUUCUGAAAUGUAGCUGGUGUUGAAGAACUGGCUAUUUUAGAAACAUGCAUCUCCCAACAGACUAGGAAACAGUACUUUAAAAUAUUUCCAUAUAUAUAUAUAUAUAUAUAUAUAUAUAUAUAUAUAUAUAUACAAUAAGGUAAGAAUAUUUUGUAAAAGUGUGCACCUUUCCAGUUAAACAAUGCAGAUGUAUUUAUUUUGCAUGCUACAUGGAUGUAUGAUCCUUUUAUCCUACAGCUUUUUCCUAGAAGUAUUUAAUCUAGUGUAAAUACUAUAUGGUGCUAGCAUGGGCCUAGCAACACUGGCAGAGGUUGUAUAUAGGAGAGACAUUUGUAAAUGUGGCACAAAAUAGAACUACCACAAUGUUAUUAUAUAGCAGGGUUUUUUUUUAUUUUACUUAUACUUAAAAAUAAUGUGCAAAUUCCCUGCAUUGUGUCCCUUAGCUUAUUUAUCCAUUAAAUCCACUACUUGCAUUAAAAUAAUUAAAAUCAUAAUUUUUUUGCAUAGUAUCACCUAAAACCUAGAGAUUUUUAUAUAUGUUGUGAUUAUUACAUGAUCUGCUUAUUAUUAUUUUAACACGCAUGUCAUGUUAUUUAAAUCCUGUAAAUCACAGGGAUGACAUCAUUACCUGUAAUUUAUUGGGAAGACAUUAGUCCAAUGAGUUACUAGAUUUAUGGAUUGGGAAGAAACCCGCUUUUUGGAUUUGCAAGCAGAGAAAAGAAAGGGACAGUAGUCUAUUCUCAUGGUCACUGAUAUAUGUAAUGUAAUGAUGGCUAUGACUGAGGACUGACAGGAGUGAGCCAUGGCUGCACUUGCUUGCACUCUAUUUCUGCUCCCAAUAACCAAUGCUUUAAAUAUGCUGACAGCUUAUGGUUAUGCCAGCCAGUUGCCCCCAAAUGUUUCUGGAUAUAUACUUCACCAUGUUCAAAGGCAGUACUCAAUUGUACAGCUCUGCAGUAUGAGGAAAUCAUGCACUGCAAGAAGAAGGUCAAUUAAUCACACAGCAAUCCCUUAGGAACUUCCUCAACUCAUUUCUCCCAGCAGGAUAUGAAUGCUGCAUACUCUAGCAUACUUUCUAUAACCAUCCAUCACCACAUGGAAUUGAUACUUUUCUAGAAACAUUUGGCAGGCUUGUGCUGGUAGGAAAUUGAUUAGUAAAAAAGGAAGCCUGCACUUUCCAUGUGCUCUCCAUGUCUUUUAAUGUGAAGAAGUAAAAACAUGGUUGAUCUGGUAAAGUUAAAGCAGCACAGUGCAGUUUUUGUAGACAGAAGCCUGAUGCGUGCAAACAAGUGAUCAUGGUUUCACAGAGGGGUGUGUAAAGUAAAGAACCAAGGUGUACUACAACCUUUUUAUUGUCCUGCUGGGUGCGGCAGUGUGUACGUGCACAAAGUACACAUUUUAUUGUGUAGAAAUAUGUUAUGGAAAGGCUGUAUCACUGGUGCUUACUGGCAGAGUCAUUAAUAUGGUGUAUUGUCAGGAAUUCAACGUUAAGUUCUAACAUUUGACCAAAAUUGAAAACAUUCACUUUGAAAUCAAUUCACUUUGAUCUCCCAACAAUUCACACUUUAGUAAAUAACUCCAUUUGCGUAAUCAGAACCUGGGAUAUUUUGAACACCUAGUCAUUCAUUCUAAAAUUUCAAAAUACCUAAAGUACAAAAACUAAAUUUCAAGUGUCCCUCUUCAACUUACAGUACCUUUAUGGAACCCAUAUCCUUUUGCCCAUCUUUGAAAACCUAGUACCAUCUCUACAACACUCCACAGCAAAAACAAACCUCAAAACAAAAUAUAUAUAUUUUUUUGAAUUACAAUAAAAUGUUUUAUAACCUAAUAUUUGUGGUUGUUCAUGUUCUGAAUUAUUUAUCCAAUUUAUUAUCCAGGGUGCUUUAAAAAAAUGUGUUUACGGGCAGCUAGUGGUAUAGAAACAGCACAAUAUUUUAUAUAUAAAAUAUUGCGAAAGAGAAAAGCAGACUAGGAGACCAUGUACCCACUUAUAGGACAUGCCUUUGAUGCAUGUUACCGGUGGCAUGUGGAUGGUAUGAUCAAUAAAUGGACGUUUCAGAAAAUGGUGCGUGCAAGGCAGUCUGACCCUGAGCCUUGCCAGCCUGGCAUGUAUAUGCUCUCAGAUAGGCAGAAAUGCAUAAUAAUGGCAAUCAGAUAUACAUGUACUGCACUUCCUGCAGACUAUUCUCUGAUAUACCCAGAAGUGCUUAAACCAGGAAUUUUGGGGUUAAUAGAUGACUUUUUAGGGAUACUUAAUUUUUCCUUUAUUCAUUUAUGGUUUGAAGAAAAAUUGGUGGAAUAAAAUGAUCUAGGCACUACACUUUGUUUUUUUACUUAUUGGCCCUGUAACCUUUAGAAUUUAUCGGACAGAGAACAAUAUAUAUUUGUGGGGUCUCUGAAACCAUUGCACAGGUACUAUUCUUUUUGAAUUCCAUUAUGUUCAUAUUACUUAGUAUUUGUUUUUUUCUUGUUUGAAAGUGUUUAUUGUUAGAGGGACAUCAUGGGACAGUGACGUGACCGCAACACAGAUUCAGUGGGGAUAAGUAUGUUUUUAAUCUCCACUGUGUUGGUCGCCCCAAUAAAUGCUGCAGUAGCCUUUACUUGGGUGUUGGAACAGUGUUUUAAUAAAAAACACUUAUUUGUUGUUCUUUUAACCCUUAUUGGCAUGCCUGCCCCUUUAUUUUGAAUAAAAAAAAAAAAAAAAGGAAACUCACCUGUAAUCCAGCGCUGAGGUACAAGUUCUCCCUGCUGCCUGAGCCUCCUUUUGUCAUCCCACCCUUUCUUACUGCAGAGAGGGAGGGCUCUGCAGCCCUGCACGUACUGACUGCAAGCACCAUGGCAACUUCAAAUCAGUGAAGUGGUGAUAGUUCCUGGACUAACCCUUUAAGAGCAUAAUUGCAUCCAACACUAAGCACUUUUUUUUAGCAUAAUGCAUUCUGCGACAGAGCACAUUUUAAAUAUAUAAUACUUUCCUUGCAGUUUGUUUAAUCAACCUCUUCAGUAUCAAAAACAUGUAUACACGUUUUUACUUGUGUUUGGCACUGCAAAGAAAAAAAAACAAUAUUCAGUUCAUAAUGCGGCAUUUGACUUUCUUUAUACUCUAGGAAAAAUUUUAAGCUUGAGUCUGAGAUGAAUAGUAUAGUCCACCCCCACCUACCAUGCAGUAAAGGUAGCUACAAAGAAUAAAUAUAUUUUUUCUUAAUUGUAGCAGGGAAGGGUGAGUUACAGUCGGAAGAUGUCACUGGGGACUGUGGGUUGCUACAACACUUUUCAAAUCUCUGUACGAAUAUAUACCUGUACAUCAUAUGUUUUACUAAUACAUGAUGUAACUGUACUUACUGUAUAUGGGAAUAUGUUUACAUUAUAUAUCUAUUUUUAAGAAGCUGUAUUGCUAGCUUUGUAUUUAAUGUUUGAAAUAAAUGUUAUAAUAUUUUAAAAACAAAAAGUGCUUGGUAUUGAAGGGUUUAAACUCUAAAAAAAAAACCCUGAAGACACCUCCUUUUAUAAUGUACCAAUUAUUUUUUAAGCAAUAACGAUUUCAAUAUGUUCAGUAUAUCCCCUAUGUCUCACAUUUACAUUCUUUUGUGUUUCUAGGUAUGAGGUCAGUGAGCAUUGAAGACUUCUAGUACACAAAACUUCACUCUUAGACAUGAUGAGGCUCAGGACUUGUAACAGCAACUCCAUGUGGAAAGUGGAUAGAAUAUUCCGGUGGAGAUGCUGUUAUCUGUAUUGGGCUUCCUAUAUUCUUCAAUAGAUCUCCCACAUACGAGGACCGCAUUUUCAUACUGCAAUAAUUUUCUAUUCACGCCAAAACAAAGAAACUGCUUCUACAGCUUGCCUCAAAAACAGGAAUGCUGAUAUAUUUGGAUCCUAUUGGUUAUUUUGACCCAAACUGUCCUAAUUUUAUUAAUUUCCUCAGGUUUGUCUAACAGUGAAGUCAGUAUAUAUAACAAUACUAGAAAGACCCUGCUGUUUUUAAUCAAUUUUGCACCAUUAUUAAAGGAACACUAUAGUUAGGAGUACAAACGUGUAUUCCUAAUCGUAUAUUGUUAACAGACCAUGUUAGGUGGUUGCCCCCCUCACUUACUCCCCUUAAAUAAGUAUAAAACACAUUUUUGUUUCCAGCGCCCCUGGUUCUGUCGAUUGCUGGCUCCACCUCUUGCUAUCUCAGCCAAUCCAAUGUUUUCCAGAAUUGAUGAUCUCAGCCAAUCCAAU